GAACUAACACUAGUUCCUUGGCUGUAAGGAAAUCUCUUUCUCUUGUAUAAAGCUUGAGUGUAUGAACAGGUUGUGAUGUUGUGAUGUGACUGGAAACCUGAGGAUUGUUUAAAAGAUUGCUAAAAUGAAGUUGCUUUAGAAUCUGUCCCAGGAUACUUUAAGAGUCUUGUUUGGGUAUUGAAAUUGUUUAGUAUGCUUAGCUCCGGUUCAUAGUGAUGCUUGUUGUGAUUAAUUAAAUCUGCUUGCAUACAUGGAGUGAAACCGAAUUUAAAGCUGUUGCAUAUAGUCUUGUGGCUGU
rnacentral:lncRNA from 1 species